UUAAAGAUAUCUCGUGGUUUACAGGAUCAACGCCUUUUUGGAAGGCUUCUAUGACAUCAUCCCAAAGCGGCUCAUAUCGAUCUUCAAUGAGCAGGAGUUGGAAUUGUUGAUCUCAGGGUUGCCCAAUGUGGAUAUUGAAGAUUUGAAGGCUAACACAGAGUACCACAAAUAUCAACCCACAUCCCUAGAGAUUCAGUGGUUCUGGCGAGCGCUGCGCUCGUUUGACCAGGCUGCCCGUGCCAAGUUCCUGCAGUUCGUGACUGGAACUUCUAAAGUGCCACUCCAAGGUUUUGCAGCCCUGGAGGGCAUGAAUGGGGUUCAAAAAUUUCAAAUCCACCGUGAUGAUCGUUCAACAGAUCGUUUGCCUUCUGCGCACACAUGUUUCAAUCAACUAGAUCUUCCUGUGUAUGAGACGUACGACAAGUUGCGCACUUACCUCCUCAAGGCCAUCCAUGAGUGCUCUGAAGGAUUUGGAUUUGCCUGAAGAAAAAGACAACUUUGAAUUAAUUUGGAGACUGAGUAACUGUAGUGGAUUGAGUCACGAAGCUUGUUUAAUUCUUACAUAUUGUUCUAGAUAGGAUAUUUAUAUAUUUCAUGUAAGUACCAAUAGCCUAGUUCUGUUUUGCAGGUUUGCAUGUUCUUUUAACUUUUCAUUUCUCCUCCCCGUUGUUGUAAUAUACUGAUUUAUGGUCCAAUCCAUGGAGAAGAAAUGAUCUACAUCCAGCAGAACAUGUUGAAUUUAAUAAAGUAUAAUUCAACGUUUAAAAUGUUUAAGAAUCGGCUUUAAUAUUUGAAAUAUAAUAUACUGUAAUGCUACAUCAAAGUUAUUGAGCAGAAUGUAAUAUUCAUAAUUGAAAUAAAAAUUACAGAAACAAUCAGAAUUUUAUUAACAUAAUGAAUAAUGCUUGUGCUUUCACAGUGUAAAAUGCAUCUUUUCUAAAUGAUGAUGAUGAUGAUGAUAAUGGUGAGUCAUCUGUAAAAAGUAGUAUUUUGGACUUUGUCCAUGAUCUGUAUUUCAAUAAAUGUUCAAGGUGCAAAGAA